GAGAUGAAGAAAAAUAACAUCAUUACUAUCAUCAUCAUCAUCAUUAUUGGAAUCAUUUGCCUUUUGAGUGUUAGUUUUUGUAGACCAUCGAGCUACCCAGAGGCAUUCAAUAAGAGAGAAGCUAAGAAGCCCAAAGGAUUGCACCAUGAAUCUGUUCAUUAGACAAGACACAGUUCACGGAUCAGCUACAAAAGAGGAUCUUAUCCCA
rnacentral:lncRNA from 1 species